CCUACGGGAGGCAGCAGUAGGGAAUCUUCCACAAUGGCCGAAAGUCUGAUGGAGCAACGCCGCGUGAGUGAAGCAGGGUUUCGGCUCGUAAAGCUCUGUUGGUAGUGAAGAAAGAUAGAGGUAGUAACUGGCCUUUAUUUGACGGUAAUUACUUAGAAAGUCCCGGCUAACUACGUGCCAGCAGCCGCGGUAAUACGUAGGUGGCAAGCGUUGUCCGGAUUUAUUGGGAGUAAAGCGAGUGCAGGCCGUUCAAUAAGUCUGAUGUUAAAGCCUUCGGCUCAACCGGAGAAUUGAAUCAGAAACUGGUGAACUUGAGUGCAGAAGAGGAGAGUGGAACUCGAGGUGUAGCGGUGGAAUGCGUAGAUAUAUGGAAGAACACCAGUGGCGAAGGCAGCUCUCUGGUCGGCAACUGACGCUGAGGCUCGAAAGCAUGGGUAGCGAACAGGAUUAGAUACCCUUGUAGUC
rnacentral:rRNA from 1 species